rnacentral:rRNA from 1 species
GUAGGUGGCAAGCGUUGUCCGGAAUUAUUGGGCGUAAAGCGCGCGCAGGCGGUUCUUUAAGUCUGAUGUGAAAGCCCACGGGCUCAACCGUGGAGGGUCAUUGGAAACUGGAGAACUUGAGUACAGAAGAGGAAAGCGGAAUUCCACGUGUAGCGGUGAAAUGCGUAGAGAUGUGGAGGAACACCAGUGGCGAAGGCGGCUUUCUGGUCUGUAACUGACGCUGAGGCGCGAAAGCGUGGGGAGCAAACAGGAUUAGAUACCCUGGUAGUCCACGCCGUAAAGAUGAGUGCUAAGUGUUAGGGGGUUUCCGCCCCUUAGUGCUGCAGCUAACGCAUUAAGCACUCCGCCUGGGGAGUACGGCCGCAAAGGCUG